GUGGGGAAUUUUCCACAAUGGGCGAAAGCCUGAUGGAGCAACGCCGCGUGUGUGAUGAAGGUCUUCGGAUCGUAAAGCACUUUCGACUGGGACGAAACACCCUUGGCUAACACUCAAGGGCUUGACGGUACCAGGAGAAGAAGCACCGGCUAACUCUGUGCCAGCAGCCGCGGUAAUACAGAGGGUGCAAGCGUUGUUCGGAAUUAUUGGGCGUAAAGCGCGUGUAGGCGGCAUAGCAAGUCGGGUGUGAAAGCCCUCAGCUUAACUGAGGAAGUGCGCCCGAAACUGCUGUGCUUGAGUGCCGGAGAGGAUGGCGGAAUUCCCCAAGUAGAGGUGAAAUUCGUAGAUAUGGGGAGGAACACCGGUGGCGUAGGCGGCCAUCUGGACGGUAACUGACGCUGAGACGCGAAAGCGUGGGUAGCAAACAGGAUUAGAAACCCUAGUAGUCC
rnacentral:rRNA from 1 species